CCCGCCGCCCCGCCGCCCCACGUCGUCGCCGCCGCCGCCCGCCCCGUGCAGGUAGGUGCGGAGAGGACGGGGCCAGGCUGCACCCGGCGGUGCCCAGCAGCGGGACCGGAGGAACUGGGCACACGCUGCAGCGCAGCAGGUUUCCCCGCAGGGCUGCCACGGCCGCGCUGCUUCCCCGUUUUGGGUAACACUACUGGAUAUAUAUGGCUGGGCUAAUGAAUGUAUCGAGACCCCACUGUGGCGCGCAAGGUAGGAGGAGCGAUCCCCCUUGCACCCGGCGUGUGGCGCAGCGCUGAAAGAAAGACGUCUCUGCUCUCCUAACCUGACGUGGGUUCAAGAGUUUGAUUCCGCAGAUCAGUUGGGCACCCCAGAUGGGACACUCUCUGUUCGGCUGCAGGACCAGUUGAGGAGGGAGACGCCUUUGGCGCGCCCCGAGAAUUCUUGGAAGGACUCCCCCUGCUCAUCCGAUCACUGCGGGGACAGACGGGGACCAUCUGGAAGCGGACCAGAUGCACUAUUUUAGGCCAGCCUCUGUUUUCUGUAAGACUCCGUUAUUGAAGUGUAUUUGCAUGCUGUGGCUGUGAAGUUCAAGGUCCUGGCGACAGAUUGCAUUGAGGACCAGGUCAGAAGACAUGGAAAAUGGGGCCUUGUCAACUCCCUUGACUGCUUCUUAAAACGAGUCCUGGCAGAUGGCUGCUUAGAGCUGUAUUCUCUGCUUUAUUGAUGUGCACAUAAAAGACUGGUGCUGCAGCUGACUGCAGGUCCUGUUAUUCCAUCCCCACAAAAGAUAUUCUGAGAAUCUGUGUUUUUCUGUUCCUAUUAUUAGUGUUACUUCAUUAUUAGGAUGAUGGCUUAUUGAGGAACGUAGACUGCUCUGAAAGGAAUGCCUCCUAUUUAUUUCCACAGAAAUGACAAUGGAUACAUAGGGCGAGUUCUCAGCUACAAAGCUGUUUUUCAACAUGGUCACCACCAUUAACUAUCGUUUUGUUGAUUUUUGUUUUUUUCCUCCAGUGUUGAGUGAGAGCCUGCGUGCUGUGCUUGUUUAAAAAGAAAUCAUAAUAAUUAAAAUAAAUCCGUUUGCUGUCUGGGUGGCUUGUCUUGCAUUGCUGCUGCCACUGCUGAAACACACCACCUCUGCUUCACUGUGCUCACCUCCACGUGUUGGGCUUCAUAAAUGUUCUGCAGGCAUUGAUGGAUGUCAGCGGUGCGAUUUUUUCAGUGUGGAGGAGUUCAGGGACACCCUGUGUUCCAUGAGCACUUCCAUGUCAGGUGCUGUGCUGUCAUUCUGGCCCUCUGCUGCCGUCUGUGGCAUGGCUGCAAAAUGUAACUGAGUGCUGACAGGAAGGUUCAGCCUCUGCUGUCAUCUCACCAGCGUCCACCUGUGAUGUUGUGGGCUGGCUUUAUAGGACAGGAGGCAUUACUUUUGGAUCAGCCCUUGUAUAGUUAUGAAAAAUUAAGGUUUAUAAUGGUUGGCUGAGUAAAUUGGUGGCUGCUAAUGAGAUCCACAACUACAGGAUAACAGUAGUUAGACACUGACAGCUUUCAAGGUCAGUUUAAAUUAUGUGGCUGUGUUGGGUUAUUUUUUAUUUAAUGUUGUGUUUCAAUGCAGUAUUUCCUGAAAACUCCUCAGGUGUGGCAUUCCGAAUCUGCAAACUCUGGUAUUCAUGAGCAACUCCAUCCUGUAAAGGUAAGUGGAUUAGUUCUCAUACUCGAUUGUAAAAGUGCUGUUAAGAACUGGUAUUGCAAAAAAGAAGCCUUCUUUUGUUUUAUAAUAUGGAAUUACAAAGUCAGAAGUAGUAUCCUGUAUGUGGAAGUAUUGUAAGGAUGUUUUACUCGUCUCUUCUGAGAGGAACUUUGGGGUCUUUGGUGUGCAUUCAUAAAGUGCUGAUUAGUCUGGAUGCAGAUUGUUUUGGAGGUCUCAAACACUGCAGCCUUUUAGCAGAUACACGCUUUGAGAGUAGUGAUUGACGUGGUUCCAGCAUGACAGUGCAGCACAUGGCUGUCCUUUUCCAUCUUUGGGCCCACCUUACUGCCUUUCCAACCUGUGCACUGAAUUGCAAUGACAUGCCAGUAUCGGAUCCGUCUGCACUGUGCUGAGCCUCACCUUACUCAUACUCACCCACUGGACGUUACUCAGCUUUAGCAAUCGUGUUUCUGCUACAGAAGGGCUUGCCAGAUAUCUGUAGUAUUGAUCCAGCCUGAAGGUGACAACCUUCCAACCUGCUGGUCUCUGCCCAUGUUCUCUGUCACAACAUCGGAUGUGUGUGCUCGCUGGAUGCACUGAUAAGAAAUGUUUUUGAGAAGAGAACCUCGUGCUUCCCAGAGCAGUAAGACUGUGAGGAUUUGGGAGGCUCUUCACAAACCUGGUUAGAGUGUGCUUUCCCAGACGGUGUGCUGUUAAAGCAGCCCUUCUCAAAAGCAGAGCGUUGUGCCUGGUGUGACUUAAAUCCCACCCACAGAGGAGCAUUCCCUGCAGUCUCUGAUCUCAGGUGUGUGUUUCUCCCACUGCUGGAACUGCUGGACUUUCACGCCUUCACUGUGUGUGUUUGGGUCUCUUUAUUAGCUCUGUUUGUCCUACUGGCUGUAUGCAAACGUAUUGGGAGGAAAUGAAAAGAUCUUUGAAAAUAGCUCGGAGAUAUUAACCUGAGGCAAGAAGGUGAAUUUUACUGCCUUAAAUUAGGCUGCAGAGGAUGUCCUUGAACUCAGAAGCUUGGGCUUUGUUGUAGCUUGAUAUUUACUGCUUGAACUUUAACUCUAGGACUGGAGGGGGAGCUUUUCUUCACACCUUGCUGUGUAUGAAAUCUACACUUGAACUGCACUUGAGACGGGCAGAAAUGUAGCUGAGCAGAGCCUCCAACAGCUCAGCCCUUUCCUUCAGACUAUGAAGAUGGCUUUAAUAUUCAUAAGUCAGGAAUCUCGUGUCAAGACUUAAUUCUGGUAUGGACACAGCCUCGCUGUGGGAGACGUGGCAGGUGUGGUCUUUGAGUCACCACAGGUGUGGGACAUGUGAAGUAAUCUGGACAUGUUUCAAUUUCUGUGUAUUUUUCCCCGUUUCUCUGAUCAUUUCUCUGUAUUGCUGCAUCUGGCAGGGAUUGCUGUCCUGGCCCAGAGCUCUGUUCCCUCAUGGGCUGCACUUGUUUUGCUAUCCCACCAUUUGGGUUGCACAGGCCAUCCACGUCCAGUGUUCCCAUCCUCCUGGGCCUUCACACACAUGGCAGUUAGCAAGAAAGAGCAAAGUUGUUCAACCUUGUCCUAAAGUUAUCAAUCUGUUCAUCCAACCUGUGCAUUGGUCACAGUGGCAACGUGCCGUUAGCAGUGCCAUCACUGCACUCAGGUCACAAGCUCUGACAGCAGGCACUGGGGAUAAUUUCAGGUGAGGCUGUUCUUCACAUCCAGGCUCACAGAUGGUAUCUUUUUCCAAAUGGACCGUGGUGGUAGGCGGGUAAAUCCAGUCAUGCAGGAUCUGCAAAAUAAAAUUAUAUACUAUGUACAUAGUUCUCCAGAGCGGUGGUGAUCUGAGAUGGAUCUCCUGUUCUCAUAACUGUUUUUAAAACUGGCAGUACCAGCAACUGUGCUGUUCUGUCAUGGGGUUGAAUUAAAUCUUGGUUUAAUUAAAUCUUGUUCACUGCUGUUGAACAGAAUUUGAUUCAUCCUUGAUAAUCUGCAUCCAUUACUCCUCUCGUGACAUGAGUUUUCUUCCUCCAAAACGCAAGGGAAUCUUUUCCUUUCCCUGUUUUUGCCAGAAGCUCCAGUUGGCACGUGCCCCAUUUACAGACAUGUUUAACUCUGUUUCUGCUUUUUGCAUGGGCCCUAAGUCUGAGGCCCUUUGAAGAGCCUUUGUUGCUAAUUCAAAGGCAACCUGCUGUUCGUUUCCCUUUCCAACUCUUCCUUGUCACUUUGUAUAUAAACAGGGUUAAAAUUUGUCCUAGGUACGGAACGUGCUGUCUCCAAAAAACCAAACAGCCCAAUACACUGCUGCGCCUCGUUCUUAUUACAGGGUACUGCAAAGUCUAAAAUGUUUUGUCGAACUUUGGGUAGUAUUCCCCAAUGCCCCAAAUGCCUCUGAAUUCCUAAAAAUGUCACUGUUUGAAUUUCAGUAGGAUGAAUUUCCCAGCCUUUCUGUUUCAUCUGAUCCACAACCAAUUCCAGCAUUUGUUGCACCUCUUCCUCCGUUUCCCUGAGUCAGGACGUCAUCUACGUAAUGAACUGUUUGCACUUGAGGAGGCAGUUUGGUGUCUUGCAGAUGUUCAGCCACAGUUCUGUGGCAGAUGGUUGGGCUGUGCAGCCAUCCCUAAGGCAAUCUACAGACAGGAUCUUGUCACCUCUGCCACGGGAAGGCGUUCCUCUGCAAUCAGGAUCAUGAAGAAGCUAGCAUUACCAAACUCAAUUACAGCAUGCCCUGUUCUGAAUGGUUCUGAGCUUUUUCUGUUAAAGCAACACUACCUGCUGCAGCCGCUGUGCGAGGCGGGGUGAGCUUGUUUAAUUCCUCCCACAACCCACCGCUUUUUGACAGGCCAUAUUGGAUUGUUCCGAGCUGUAGUAGCUGACUUAAAACUCCUGCACCCAAUAAAUCAUUAAUUGUCCUUGAUAUCUCUUCAUGCUUCCCCCCCCCCCCAGGUCCUGUACUGUUUCAUUGUCACUACUUCAGUUGCAGCAGGAAUCUGCACAGCAGGCAUUGUUACUUUUCCCACUGAAAUUGUCAGAGCACAAAUGCAAUUCCUUAUUCCAAAUUGGGGCUGAGCACUGGGGAGAUUCAGUGUUAGUCAUUUUAGAAUGCCCAUCCCUGCGAUGUAUUCUGGGGCGGGGGCAGUCAUCACAGGAUGCAGUCGUUGUGGGAGGUUUCCUAUUCUCAUUUCUAUUUAUGUUUGUACAGCUUCAGUUUGUUUCCCUCCCAGCCCUAUAAUAACUACCAGUUGUCCUUCACGUUUCUUGGGGUUCCCAUAUGUUAAGGAGGCCUCUGCUCCGGGGUCAUUUAAGGCUCUUACAGUUUGCGAGGACCCGUUUUUCCAAAAUAUUUGGAGCUCCACGAGGGGUUGUUGGUCCUGCACCCGUUGCAUUGGAGCUUGGCCAUCAUUUCAUUCUUGUCUUUACAUGGAGCUGCUUCCCUAACCUCCUUCCAAGGAUACAAACUGGAACAUGGUUCCCAAUCCUUCUCCCCCAGAGCAGCUGAUCCUCCCACGUUGGGCCCUGUGAGCAGAUGAGAGUCCCAUUGAGGCUCUCAAGGGAGUGCAGUAGCUGGAAUUGUUCCUGGGCUGUUUGCUUUAGAAUGUGGCACUUUCUUGCUUGGUUUUUUAACCCCUCUCAGUUUGUGUAUCCUCUGUAAUUCAGGAAUUGGAAAACCACGCAUCUUACUGUGAGGCAUCCUGUCUUGUAAUAAAGCUGUAAACACUUAUUUCAAGGAAUCCUAUUUUCACUGCCUUUCUGCUUUUCCCUCUUGUCAAUUCUCCCCUGCCAUCUCCUGCUUUCCCCUGCCCCAUUGGCUCUGCUCCUCUUACCUGUAUACUUUCUUCUCUUCUGCCCUCUCUGUCAGGGCAGUCCUGCCCUUCUCUGGCAGGACGAGUGAUAGGGACAGGGGCAGGAGAGGUCAGCAGGAGAGGGAAAAGAGAGGGACGGGCAGUGAUAGGAGGAUAAAGAAAAGGGUGGGGGUAGGUGUGGAGGCAGUGGUAGGGUCGGGGUAGGGACAGGAACACAGGCAAGGUGAGGUGGAGGAUCAGGGACAAGACAAGAACAGGAAUGGGCUAAACGGAAUGGGAGCAGAACAGGGCCUGGUCAGGGCUACAUCAGAGGCAGGAGAGGGACUCAAAAGGGGCAGGACUGGAGAUGGGCACUGCUGGGACUGCUGACACUUUGUGGUGGUGAGGAUGAAGGGAUGCCUGCUGCAUUUCCUGGCUCGUGAGAAGUAGAAGAUGGUGGGGAUUUCUCUCUUUUUAUUUAUUUUCUCCAAAUAGCUUAUUCAUUGCAUUGAAUAGUGACUUAGCAUAAUUAAUGUAAACGUUCAACUUGUCAACUUGUUCUCUGUGAGUGUGGAGCAUGGAUGGACUUGCUGUGCUUUGUGUGCAUAUUGCCUGUAGAUCUGGAGGUGGGGAAGCUGCUCCAGUGACUGCAGAAGGAGCUCUAGCUGCACUGUGCCUGGUUACAAGUCAGCAUCGUAGUCUUGGUAUGUCUGACUUGACUGGUUAAAGGUGACACAUUGGCACAGCUCUGCUGGGUUUAAUGGUGACACACUGGCACAGCUGUGCUGGGCUUAAUGGUAACACAUUGGCACAGCUUUGCUGGGUUUAAUGGUGGCACAUUGGCACAGCUCUGCUGGGCUUAAUGGUGGCACAUGGAACAGCUCUGCUGGGUUUAAUGGUGGCACAUGGAACAGCUCUGCUGACUUUGAUGGUGACACAUUGGCACAGCUCUGCUGGGCUUGAUGGUGGCACAUAGGCACAGCUCUGCUGGGUUUAAUGGUCACACAUUGGCACAGCUCUGCUGGCUUUGACGGUGACACAUUGGCUCAGCUCUGCUGGGCUUGAUGGUGACACAUUGGCACAGCUCUGCUGGACUUGAUGGUGGCACAUAGGCACAGCUCUGCUGGGUUUAAUGGUCACACAUUGGCACAGCUCUGCUGGCUUUGAUGGUGGCACAUUGGCACAGUGUUACGGAGUUGACCAGAUCAAUCUAUGUCCGUGACAGGGGCAACAGGCCGCUGCCCUCCCCCCCCCCCCCACCCCAGUCCCACAAAAAAUGGGAAGGAAGGAGGGAAGGGAGGAAAAGAGCAGCGGCAGCAAUCUAUGGAGGAAAACUUAUUUUACUAUAAUAUCGGAAUACAAGAUAACACAAUAUAUACAAUUUAAUUGAAAUUGAGAUUAAUAAAUCAGACAAGAUAAGAGAGAGAGUUCCCGGGACCGAGUCAAACCUGAAAAGCUUGGAACGGCCAGGAAAGCACCUCCAGCACCCACUGCAAGGCAGCAAGAGAGCGCCCCCCCCCACCCGGAAGGGCCAGAUCCCGUGACUUCUGUAAUGUACAGGGAUAGGUACUUGGAAUUGGGGCAGUGACACUUUAAUGCCCCGUACACUACAUGAUGUUCUGAUGUGGAAUACUGAAACCCAAAAACAAAAAAGCAUAGAACCAUGACAAUGGUAAAUUCUGGGAUACAUAACUUCUAUUUUAACAGCUUGCAUUCUGUAUCAUUGUUCCUUUUAUGAGUAAUUUCUUGUUCCCGCAACUGAUAAGUGAUGAUUGUAGCCAUGCUGCUAAAUAUGUUGGAGUUGGUGCCAAAAGGGCAUGAGAGAGUGCUGCUGUUGUAUUCAAUUAAUUUUAAUGAGACCUGGGAGCAAACCUGCUGAAGGACUUACAGAACUGUCUCAAGUAGACAAUACUGGGGCUUGGAAGACUAGGAAUUUGUUUCUGCAGUCCUGGUUAAAUUAUUUGAAACAGCAGCGCUUCAAACACUGAUUGCAUGAAAACAAACACGUUUUUUAGUCUAUCUUAUAAUUUAGAAACUACAAAACUUGAAGACAAUGCUAGGUGUUUUCAGGUUGACUCCUCCCCAUGCAUACACUGCCAUGUGUUUUGGUGAUCUCGUUGUCACAGUUCAUAAAUACUGAGGCUGGAUGGAAAACCAGGCUGCAGUAAUUAUUUGAAAAGAUAAAGGCAGUGUAGCUUAGUAAUAAGACUUGAGUACAGUUCUUGUUAAGAACUGUCUUAUUAAGAACUUAUUAAGAACUGCCUCCCAAAUGGCCUGCAUGGGAAAAAAGUCUGACGGCGUUUACAGAAGGCACGUAUUUUCCCUUCCACAGCCUUAACUUUUCCACAUUGUGUCACAUCUCUUCUUGACACUGUUACGCAUGCUGCCUCUGAAGUUGUUGCAAAUAGUAAAUGGGAAUCCAUCAGUGCAAGCAGGUGGCUUUUUCUUUACAAUCAUCCAGUGUUCAGAGAAUGCAGACAAGUUGUUUGGUGAAUAACUUUUCUUUGUAAUGUCAAAGCUGGGCAGCUGAUAGCAGUUCUUGGACUGAAGCAUUUUUACAGAGUGCAGCUAAGCUGCCUUUUGUGUGUGAAGUAGAAAAUGUGGCUACGUGUGCCUGACUUCAAACCACCACCUUUUGCACAUUUACUUUUGUGACUUACAAAUUCUGAAAUAGGUUUCCAAUGAGGAGAGAAACACUAAGUAAAGAUUUUUCUUUCCUUCUGACAUGUCUUGCAUGAGGAAGUGUGAAUGGUUCUGCAUCCACGUCCACAGAGAACGGUGGGGCCAGUGCAGUUCACUGGCAGCUGCAAAACGUCUUCAGAACCAAGCCCUGAGGGGGCAGCAGCACAACAACAGCUCCUGCAGCUGCUGCGCUCAGCACAUCCACACCAAGACAAGAGCAGCCAGCAAGUCCUCCAACUCGGGCAUAACUAUGGUCAGCCAAGGUCCUCUUCCACCCGGCUAUGAGCUGAAUGAAUUUCCUGCUGCCUUUUCUGUUCUCUUAUUUUAAGCACACCAAAAUACACGUCACAUCUGUCUUUCGCUGCGUAACAGAAAUUGCCAAAAGCUUUUAAAGUGGGGGUUUUCUAAACUGUUUGACCUAGUAGACCUUCAAGUAUGUGUGUGUGUGUGUGUGUGUGUGUGGUUUAAUCAAGAAAGGAAUUAAAUUUUAAGGAGUUAUGAUGCUUGCUGUGAACUGCUAAGUCAGUGAGACGACUUGCUGUCCUCAAAUGAGAAAGAAGUCAAACAGUAAGGAAGUGGUAUAAAUAAGCAGAAGGAAAGUCACUGUGGCAGAACAUAAUCUGCUGUGUGGCUUUAAAUGUCACAGUUCAUACACUGCACCUCCUGAGAGCAGGGUGGGCGCAGACAUUUCAUACCCACAUGGAAUUUGUCCGAUGAUUGGUCUGUUGCCUCAAAGAUAUGAAAUAAUAUCUUACAAUAAAUUAAAUCUUAUUAUAAAUAAUAUCUUAACUUUGAGAAAUAGAAAUGUUUCUGUACUCUGAGUGAGGGAAAGCAAGAGCUUCCUAAUGUGAGUGGCACAAUAGGUGAGUUAAGUGUGGCUGCAGUUAAAGCAGCAGGUAGUGGAGGCUUGGAUUCCCGUGCCUACAGGAUAACUGUGACAGCAAUUCUGAAAACAUCAGUUGUUGCUUCACCACUUUUAUUUCAUUAGAAAUGGGAAAUCACUGCGCGUUUCCCUCCGUGUUGCAUUUGAUGCAAACACAGGAGUAAGGCAGCGUCCCAAACGCUGCAUGUUCAGGAAAUGCAACGUCAGUGCCCUGGUGAUGAACUGCCUGUAUGUGAUGUGCAGAGGGCGAAGGAGGCUGCGGUCCCUUUCCUUGGCUUCGGCUCCUCUGUGCCCUGUUGCUGGCCGCAGAGAAGGGCUGCCCGCUGGGCACACGGAGUCCCGUGCCCUGCAGCCCCCUCCUCAUCCCAUGCGGAACGCCACUCCCAGCAGCAGCACAGGUGCCAUUAUGGAACCUUCCCCAUGUCACAGCCGUCACCUUGGUCACUGCCGCCCCACCCGGCGCACUCGUCUCUGAGAGUGCUGGGCAGGUGGCAGCCAUGUCCAGCACGAAGAGAGCGAGAGUGGAAGAGAGCGUAGUUAUAAAUGGGAAGAGGGAGCUGGGGGCCCCAGAACCGAAGAGGAGGAGGGGGCCCACCAUGACCAUCAGGCAGCGGAGGGAGAGGAGGAAGGGAGCCCGGUUCCAUCGCGCCCGGGCCAGCGCUGUGAGCGACCAUGGGGAGCCCAUGGAGGUGGAUCCGCCUCCAGAGGAGCCCAUGGAGGUGGAUCCGCCUGCGGCACAGCUGGCCUGGCACCACACCACCGUGCCAGGCCCUGUGUUGGCGCGCUCACAGCUCCGCCAUCGCUGGUCCGGGCGCUCGGCUCCUUACCCGCUGCGCAGCCCCCGCCCCCAGCAUUAGCUGGGUGGCAUUGCUGACAUCUGCUCUUCCUCCACCUUGUUGCUCCUCUGCAGUUCUGUGGGCCCCCGGUUCCAUCUUCCCCCCGUAGGAGUUAGGUGCCACUUCUGAGCUUUGUUGUUGAUUUUAGUGUUAGCUUAGUUUUAGUGUUGAGUUCAGUUUUAGUGUUAGUCAUAGGUUACUGUUAGGAGUUUAGAGUUAGGCAUAGGUUACUGUUAGGAGUGUAGAGUUAGGCAUAGGUUGCUGCUGCCAACUGGCAGUAAAUGCUGCUGACUCGGUAAGCCCUCCCCGAGUUCUCAUGCAGAGAAAUGAGUGCGACUGCCCUGAGAAGGGAGGUUUGAGGACGUCUGCAAUGAAUUGAAUAUCCGUCUUGUGACUUUUCUGUUGCAGAACAUCAAGGAAUGUGAGUGGCUGAGAAAUGGAGUUGGGACUCAGGGGAGCAAUUGAGCAAUGGGUGCCUGUGUCACAACCUUCCUGAGCAGCCCUUGCAAGGACUGGCACAGUCUUGGGACUCCGUCUGGCGAGACAGUGAAGAAAGCCAAGACAAGUGCUGCUGUGCUGAGGAAGAAAGCCCAGAAGGAGAGCAAAAAGAACCGAGAAGGGCUUGAGCGAGAAGGCCCACAGGACACUCGAAUCAGCUGGAAUGCUUCCUCAGAGGUGGCACCAAAGGCAGUGGACUGAGUCAGCAUCCAGUUUUCUGGCAUGGCUGUGCUUUCCCUGUCACAGACAGUGCUGCAGAACUGAGGCACCUGGAAGGGAAGGGCUUGUGCUGCAUUCCAAGCAAAGAGGGCUUGCCAGAGGCAGGUCUUCAUCUAUGGCAAGAGAUGGAGAGGCUGUGUUCCUUCAGGCUGCGUCUCUUCAGGGCCAGGGCCAGUCUAGUGUGAGAUUGAAGUACGGCUAGCUGGGCCUGGAGGGAGAGGAGCUGACGUAGCCAUAGGAUCAGGCUUCUUGUGUCUGCCUGGAGGCUGAAUGACUCAUUACUAAGCAGAAACCCUGGACGCUGGGGUUUCAUUUUGGGCUGUGUUGAUAAAUACAACCCAGAGCCUUUUGUAUUGAAUAAAAGCAAA